rnacentral:tRNA from 11 species
CGUGGCCCAGUGGUUAAAACGCCAGGCUGAUAGCCUGAAUGUCACCGGUUCGAGC